rnacentral:rRNA from 1 species
AACCGUGAGUCCUGCAGUCGACGAUUCUACGGGAGGCAGCAGUGGGGAAUUUUCCGCAAUGGGCGAAAGCCUGACGGAGCAAUACCGCGUGAGGGAAGACUGCCUAUGGGUUGUAAACCUCUUUUUUCAGGGAGGAAUCAAUGACGUGUACCUGAAGAAUAAGCAUCGGCUAACUCCGUGCCAGCAGCCGCGGUAAGACGGAGGAUGCAAGUGUUAUCCGGAAUCACUGGGCGUAAAGCGUCUGUAGGUGGUUUAAUAAGUCAACUGUUAAAUCUUGAGGCUCAACUUCAAAAUCGCAGUCGAAACUAUUAGACUAGAGUAUAGUAGAGGUAAAGGGAAUUUCCAGUGGAGCGGUGAAAUGCGUAGAUAUUGGAAAGAACACCGAUGGCGAAAGCACUUUACUGGGCUAUUACUAACACUCAGAGACGAAAGCUAGGGUAGCAAAUGGGAUUAGAUACCCCAGUAGUCCUAGCCGUAAACAAUGGAUACUAGAUGUUGAACAGAUCGACCUGUGCAGUAUCAAAGCUAACGCGUUAAGUAUCCCGCCUGGGAAGUAUGCUCGCAAGAGUGAAACUCAAAGGAAUUGACGG